ACGCGCGGAACCUUACCAGGUCUUGACAUCCCUUUGACCGGUAUAGAGAUAUACCUUUCCUUCGGGACAGAGGAGACAGGUGGUGCAUGGUUGUCGUCAGCUCGUGUCGUGAGAUGUUGGGUUAAGUCCCGCAACGAGCGCAACCCUUGAUCUUAGUUGCCAGCAGGUAAGGCUGGGCACUCUAAGGUGACUGCCGGUGACAAACCGGAGGAAGGUGGGGAUGACGUCAAAUCAUCAUGCCCCUUAUGACCUGGGCUACACACGUACUACAAUGGCCAGUACAACGGGAAGCGAAGCCGCGAGGUGGAGCGAAUCCUAAAAAGCUGGUCUCAGUUCGGAUUGCAGGCUGCAACUCGCCUGCAUGAAGUCGGAAUUGCUAGUAAUCGCGGAUCAGCAUGCCGCGGUGAAUACGUUCCCGGGUCUUGCACUCACCGCCCGU
rnacentral:rRNA from 1 species